ACGGGCGGUGUGUACAAGACCCGGGAACGUAUUCACCGCAGUAUGCUGACCUGCGAUUACUAGCGAUUCCGACUUCACGCAGGCGGGUUGCCGCCUGCGAUCCGAACUGAGAUCGGGUUUCUGGGGUUUGCUCUGCCUCGCGGCUUCGCUUCCCUCUGUUUGAUCACCAUUGUAGUACGUGUGUAGCCCAAGUCAUAAUGGGCAUGAUGAUUUGACGUCAUCCCCACCUUCCUCCGUUUUAUCAACGGCAGUCUCAUUAGAGUGCUCUUGCGUAGCAACUAAUGAUAAGGGUUGCGCUCGUUGCGGGACUUAACCCAACAUCUCACGACACGAGCUGACGACAACCAUGCACCACCUGUCUUCGCGUCCCGAAGGAAGAACUUAUCUCUAAGUUCGUCGCUCGAUGUCAAGACCUGGUAAGGUUCUUCGCGUUGCUUCGAAUUAAACCACAUACUCCACUGCUUGUGCGGGCCCCCGUCAAUUCCUUUGAGUUUCAACCUUGCGGUCGUACUCCCCAGGUGGAUUACUUAUUGUGUUAACUCCGGCACGG
rnacentral:rRNA from 1 species